rnacentral:rRNA from 1 species
UACGUAGGGUGCGAGCGUUAAUCGGAAUUACUGGGCGUAAAGCGUGCGCAGGCGGUUAUUUUAAGUCAGGUGUGAAAGCCCUGGGCUUAACCUAGGAAUUGCGCUUGAGACUGGAUAGCUUGGAGUGCGGCAGAGGGAGGUGGAAUUCCACGUGUAGCAGUGAAAUGCGUAGAGAUGUGGAGGAACACCGAUGGCGAAGGCAGCCUCCUGGGCCAGCACUGACGCUCAUGCACGAAAGCGUGGGGAGCAAACAGG